CUACGGAGGGUGCAAGCGUUACUCGGAAUCACUGGGCGUAAAGCGCGCGCAGGCGGGCUGAUAAGUUGGAUGUGAAAGCCUACGGCUCAACCGUAGAACUGCAUCCAAAACUGUCAGUCUAGAGUGUGGGAGAGGAAGAUGGAAUUAGUUGUGUAGGGGUAAAAUCCGUAGAGAUAACUAGGAAUACCAAAAGCGAAGGCAAUCUUCUGGAACACUACUGACGCUGAGGCGCGAAGGUGUGGGGAGCAAACAGGAUUAGAAACCCCAGUAGUCC
rnacentral:rRNA from 1 species